CUUUGUGAACUUCUACGUGGCUGAAAAGAAAGACGCCUCAGUUGCAGAGCAUCCCACAUGCAAGACAGUAUGGUAGGCAUAGUGAAGACCUGGACUAAGAGCGGGCUAGUGCUAGCCGUGUUACUGUCGAUCGCUACUGACAGCGCACUAGCAGCCGCACCACCGACGGAUGAGAAAGAUGACAGGGACGUGCGGAAUGUGGAAGUGUCUAGAAGGGAUAAAAAACACCAGGACCCUGUUGUAAUCUUCGAGCUACCACACAACCGAAAGUCCAACGGACGCCUAAUGUCCAAGGUAGUUGCACAAAAGUUCAAGGCCCAGUGAACACGCCCCGGCAAUGGCCCCGUCGUCAUAAUCAAAGUUUUAUUAAAAUCUGUUACGCAAGCCAAAA